GCAGUCUGUUUCCGCGGCAUUUUGCACGGGGUUUCCCCUCAUCAACUGCAUUUGAGAAGGGGCUCGAUGUUCUCUUGUUCAGGUUUGGAAUGCAGUGUAAGCUUUGCAAAUUUUCCCACAGUAGCAGAGAGGUCCUCUUGAAACACUACAGGCUUCGGCACUAUCAAGGGCGAUCCUGGCAGCAUCCUUGCUUGUAUACUGACUGCGUCUGCACUUUUAAAACUGUAGAAUAUGCGGCUCCGUGUUGUGUUGGCCCCUGAUAAUAUUAGGAGGCUGGAUAUUUUGGAAAAUCUCACUUCGGUUGAACACUUGAAAACAAUUCUUCAAGAAAGGCUUGAAAUCAAGGAUGAUUUUCUGAUUCAGUUUGAGGAUCCUGAGUUCGGAAAUGAACUCUGUAACUUGACCAAUAUAACAGAGCUUCCACCAGAAAGAGCAGUGCUGAAGAUACUCCAGAAAGUACCUGAAGACUCAGAACCAGAGACCUCGAUUUCCUCUUUAGACACUGCCAGUGUGUCCUCUCCAUCUGAUAGCUCAAACCAGAGUUU